rnacentral:rRNA from 1 species
UACGUAGGGUGCAAGCGUUGUCCGGAAUUAUUGGGCGUAAAGAGCUCGUAGGCGGUUCGUCGCGUCGGCUGUGAAAUCCCGAGGCUCAACCUCGGGUCUGCAGUCGAUACGGGCGGACUGGAGUUCGGCAGGGGAGACUGGAAUUCCUGGUGUAGCGGUGAAAUGCGCAGAUAUCAGGAGGAACACCGAUGGCGAAGGCAGGUCUCUGGGCAUUAACUGACGCUGAGGAGCGAAAGCAUGGGGAGCGAACAGG